AUAUCUUUUCUCCCCGACGCGUCCUGCUUCUCUCCUUGCCACUCGCUGCUAGGGUUGGGGCUGCUCCCCCAUGCCGCCGCCUCCCAUUGCUCCCCACGCCGCCGCCGCCUCCCCCUGCUCCCCACGCCGCCGCCUCCCCUUGCUCCCGACCCCGCCGCCUCCCGUCCCGCCACCCGCCGCUGGCCCGUCCGCCGCCAACCGCCGGCCCGUCCCGCCACCCGACGCCGUCCCUUACCCACUGCAGGCCACACCCGCCGCCCCGUACAUCGUCUGCAACCGCCAGAUCUGUAGUACACACCUGCCGCUGCUCGAGCUCACGCCGACGGUCUCCUUCUCCAUCUCGACGCCGACCACUGGUGCUCCAAGAUGGAACCUGUCAAAAUAGAUACUGUGAAAGCUGUGUGGGAUGCUACCGCUGCUAGGAUUUUUUGUGAGUGCGCCACCAAACAAGUUCAGCUUGGAAAUAGGCCAACCAAAUUCUUGAGUUCUACCGGAUACAAGAACUAAGUGGCAGAUUUCAAUGCUCAGACCGGGAGAAACUAUGAGAGAAGGCAGCUGAAAAAUCGUUGGCACGAUUUGAAGGCUAUUUAUUCAGCGGGGUGUUCUACAAAAAUAAGGCAACUGGACUUGGAUGGAAUGAAGAUACGCAAAUCAUAAUAGCUGAUGAAGAGCAGUGGGCUGAAUUGAUCAAGAUUCACAAGCAAAUUAAAGCAUUCCGCAAGGGACCACCGGACAACUUGGAGUUGCAUAUUAUGAGCAACGUAAAUUUUAUCUUGUUGAUUCUGGAUACCCCAAUCAGACUGGUUAUCUAGCACCGCUUAGAGGCACGAGGUACCAUCUACCUGAGUAUCAACAUGGCGCCGCUGCAAGUGGUAGUAAGGAAAUCUUCAACUAUCUACAUUCAUCACUCAGAAAUGUCAUAGAACGAUGCUUUGCCGUGUUGAAGCAAAGAUGGCGCAUGUUGAAAGCCGUGCCUAGCUACCCACCGAGAAAGCAAGCAAGGAUUAUCAUUGCUUGUAUGGUGUUGCACAACUUCAUACGAGAUAGUAAUUUGUAUGAUUACCACUUUGCUAGAUGCGAUGCUGACGAGGACUACAUGCCUCCCGGCCAUGUCGUCAACACAAGUGGUGGGAGCUAUGCGGGUAGUAGCAAUGCCGCAAUGGACACAACUCGUGAUAGAAUUGUUGAUGCUGAGAGUAGAAUUGUAAUAGGUUAGACUAUUUUAAUGUCACGAUGAUCUUAUAUUUUGCAAACGAUGCGUGGACAAAAUAUUAUUAGUGUACUAUGGUUUAAUGUGUUCUCAAAAAAUUAAUUUACAUGUAAAGCAGUACGGUUAGCAUUAA